AUCAGGUCUCUUGUGCAGGGUGUGGAGUACAGACUGGAUGAAACACUGGGUAAUGUACUACUAGGACACAGUAGCGUGAGAUGGCCCAGCUCAUAAGCUAUAUGUUUUAAACCACUGAGACUGAAUUUACUGGRUCUGAACAGCUUCUUUCUCACACCAAGGGGAAAAUGUCAAGGUUUCUGUCAAGGGGAAAGAAGAUGUAUGGCUUUCCAUGAAGUGAUGAGUCCCUCCAGGGUUCAGAGUUUUGUGAGCUCAGUUGGGACUGGCCUUGCUAUGAAGAAUGGGGGAGUGCUGCCUGGUCCCAGGGGAGCAGGAGCAGUUGUG
rnacentral:lncRNA from 1 species